rnacentral:tRNA from 1 species
GCCGACGUAGCUCAAUCGGCAGAGCAUCCGCCUUGUAAGCGGAACGGUGCGGGUUCAAGUCCCGCCGUCGGCU